AACGAACGCUGGCGGCAAGCUUAACACAUGCAAGUCGAACGCCCCGCAAGGGGAGUGGCAGACGGGUGAGUAACGCGUGGGAAUCUACCCAUCUCUGCGGAAUAGCUCUGGGAAACUGGAAUUAAUACCGCAUACGCCCUACGGGGGAAAGAUUUAUCGGGGAUGGGUGAGCCCGCGUUGGAUUAGCUAGUUGGUGGGGUAAAGGCCUACCAAGGCGACGAUCCAUAGCUGGUCUGAGAGGAUGAUCAGCCACAUUGGGACUGAGACACGGCCCAAACUCCUACGGGAGGCAGCAGUGGGGAAUAUUGGACAAUGGGCGCAAGCCUGAUCCAGCCAUGCCGCGUGAGUGAUGAAGGCCUUAGGGUUGUAAAGCUCUUUCACCGAUGAAGAUAAUGACGGUAGUCGGAGAAGAAGCCCCGGCUAACUUCGUGCCAGCCGCCGCGGUAA
rnacentral:rRNA from 1 species